AACGAACGCUGGCGGCGUGGAUAAGACAUGCAAGUCGAACGGAGAAUAUGAAUAGCUUGCUAAUUGUAUUCUUAGUGGCGGACGGGUGCGUAACACGUGAGCAACCUGCUCUGAAGUGGGGGAUAGCCUUUCGAAAGGAAGAUUAAUACCGCAUGUGGUCUCCGGACCAAAGAUGGCUUCGGCUGUCGCUUCAGAAUGGGCUCGCGGCCUAUCAGCUUGUUGGUGAGGUAACGGCUCACCAAGGCGACGACGGGUAGCUGGUCUGAGAGGACGAUCAGCCACACUGGAACUGAGACACGGUCCAGACACCUACGGGUGGCAGCAGUCGAGAAUCAUUCACAAUGGGGGAAACCCUGAUGGUGCAACGCCGCGUGGAGGAUGAAGGCCCUAGGGUCGUAAACUCCUGUCAUCGGAGAGUAAGCCUUGGUCGUUAAUAGCUUCCAAGGUUGAUAGUAUCCGAAGAGGAAGGGACGGCUAACUUCG
rnacentral:rRNA from 1 species